GACUAAGCGUACACGGUGGAUGCCCUGGCAGUCAGAGGCGAUGAAGGACGUGCUAAUCUGCGAUAAGCGCCGGUAAGGUGAUAUGAACCGUUAUAACCGGCGAUUUCCGAAUGGGGAAACCCAGUGUGAUUCGUCACACUAUCAUUAACUGAAUCCAUAGGUUAAUGAGGCGAACCGGGGGAACUGAAACAUCUAAGUACCCCGAGGAAAAGAAAUCAACCGAGAUUCCCCCAGUAGCGGCGAGCGAACGGGGAGGAGCCCAGAGCCUGAAUCAGCAUGUGUGUUAGUGGAAGCGUCUGGAAAGGCGCGCGAUACAGGGUGACAGCCCCGUACACAAAAGCGCAUGUGCUGUGAGCUCGAUGAGUAGGGCGGGACACGUGGUAUCCUGUCUGAAUAUGGGGGGACCAUCCUCCAAGGCUAAAUACUCCUGACUGACCGAUAGUGAACCAGUACCGUGAGGGAAAGGCGAAAAGAACCCCGGCGAGGGGAGUGAAAAAGAACCUGAAACCGUGUACGUACAAGCAGUGGGAGCACCCUUCGGGGUGUGACUGCGUACCUUUUGUAUAAUGGGUCAGCGACUUAUAUUCUGUAGCAAGGUUAACCGUAUAGGGGAGCCGGAGGGAAACCGAGUCUUAACCGGGCGUUAAGUUGCAGGGUAUAGACCCGAAACCCGGUGAUCUAGCCAUGGGCAGGUUGAAGGUUGGGUAACACUAACUGGAGGACCGAACCGACUAAUGUUGAAAAAUUAGCGGAUGACCUGUGGCUGGGGGUGAAAGGCCAAUCAAACCGGGAGAUAGCUGGUUCUCCCCGAAAGCUAUUUAGGUAGCGCCUCGUGAAUUCAUCUCCGGGGGUAGAGCACUGUUUCGGCUAGGGGGCCAUCCCGGCUUACCAACCCGAUGCAAACUGCGAAUACCGGAGAAUGUUAUCACGGGAGACACACGGCGGGUGCUAACGUCCGUCGUGAAGAGGGAAACAACCCAGACCGCCAGCUAAGGUCCCAAAGUCAUGGUUAAGUGGGAAACGAUGUGGGAAGGCCCAGACAGCCAGGAUGUUGGCUUAGAAGCAGCCAUCAUUUAAAGAAAGCGUAAUAGCUCACUGGUCGAGUCGGCCUGCGCGGAAGAUGUAACGGGGCUAAACCAUGCACCGAAGCUGCGGCAGCGAACGUAUCACCCAAGACAACUUUACGGAGUUGACGAUUGACGGAGCGAAGCGACGUCAAAGCGUUCAUUAAAGUCGAGUUGGCUUAGGGAUACGUUCGUUGGGUAGGGGAGCGUUCUGUAAGCCUGUGAAGGUGUGUCGUGAGGCAUGCUGGAGGUAUCAGAAGUGCGAAUGCUGACAUAAGUAACGAUAAAGCGGGUGAAAAGCCCGCUCGCCGGAAGACCAAGGGUUCCUGUCCAACGUUAAUCGGGGCAGGGUGAGUCGACCCCUAAGGCGAGGCCGAAAGGCGUAGUCGAUGGGAAACGGGUUAAUAUUCCCGUACUUGGUGUUACUGCGAAGGGGGGACGGAGAAGGCUAUGUUGGCCGGGCGACGGUUGUCCCGGUUUAAGCGUGUAGGUGUGUGUUCCAGGUAAAUCCGGUUCACUUUAACACUGAGGCGUGACGACGAGGCACUACGGUGCUGAAGCAACAAAUGCCCUGCUUCCAGGAAAAGCCUCUAAGCAUCAGGUAACACGAAAUCGUACCCCAAACCGACACAGGUGGUCAGGUAGAGAAUACCAAGGCGCUUGAGAGAACUCGGGUGAAGGAACUAGGCAAAAUGGUGCCGUAACUUCGGGAGAAGGCACGCUGACACGUAGGUGAAGUGAUUUACUCAUGGAGCUGAAGUCAGUCGAAGAUACCAGCUGGCUGCAACUGUUUAUUAAAAACACAGCACUGUGCAAACACGAAAGUGGACGUAUACGGUGUGACGCCUGCCCGGUGCCGGAAGGUUAAUUGAUGGGGUCAGCGUAAGCGAAGCUCCUGAUCGAAGCCCCGGUAAACGGCGGCCGUAACUAUAACGGUCCUAAGGUAGCGAAAUUCCUUGUCGGGUAAGUUCCGACCUGCACGAAUGGCGUAAUGAUGGCCAGGCUGUCUCCACCCGAGACUCAGUGAAAUUGAACUCGCUGUGAAGAUGCAGUGUACCCGCGGCAAGACGGAAAGACCCCGUGAACCUUUACUAUAGCUUGACACUGAACAUUGAGCCUUGAUGUGUAGGAUAGGUGGGAGGCUUUGAAGUGUGGACGCCAGUCUGCAUGGAGCCGACCUUGAAAUACCACCCUUUAAUGUUUGAUGUUCUAACGUGGACCCGUAAUCCGGGUUGCGGACAGUGUCUGGUGGGUAGUUUGACUGGGGCGGUCUCCUCCUAAAGAGUAACGGAGGAGCACGAAGGUUGGCUAAUCCUGGUCGGACAUCAGGAGGUUAGUGCAAUGGCAUAAGCCAGCUUGACUGCGAGCGUGACGGCGCGAGCAGGUGCGAAAGCAGGUCAUAGUGAUCCGGUGGUUCUGAAUGGAAGGGCCAUCGCUCAACGGAUAAAAGGUACUCCGGGGAUAACAGGCUGAUACCGCCCAAGAGUUCAUAUCGACGGCGGUGUUUGGCACCUCGAUGUCGGCUCAUCACAUCCUGGGGCUGAAGUAGGUCCCAAGGGUAUGGCUGUUCGCCAUUUAAAGUGGUACGCGAGCUGGGUUUAGAACGUCGUGAGACAGUUCGGUCCCUAUCUGCCGUGGGCGCUGGAGAACUGAGGGGGGCUGCUCCUAGUACGAGAGGACCGGAGUGGACGCAUCACUGGUGUUCGGGUUGUCAUGCCAAUGGCACUGCCCGGUAGCUAAAUGCGGAAGAGAUAAGUGCUGAAAGCAUCUAAGCACGAAACUUGCCCCGAGAUGAGUUCUCCCUGAGACUUAGAGUCUCCUGAAGGAACGUUGAAGACGACGACGUUGAUAGGCCGGGUGUGUAAGCGCAGCGAUGCGUUGAGCUAACCGGUACUAAUGAACCGUGAGGCUUAACCUUACAACGCCGAAGAUGUUUUGGCGGUUGAGAGACG
rnacentral:rRNA from 1 species